ACGGUCCUAAGGUAGCGAAAUUCCUUGUCGGGUAAGUUCCGACCUGCACGAAUGGCGUAAUGAUGGCCAGGCUGUCUCCACCCGAGACUCAGUGAAAUUGAACUCGCUGUGAAGAUGCAGUGUACCCGCGGCAAGACGGAAAGACCCCGUGAACCUUUACUAUAGCUUGACACUGAACACUGGUCCUUGAUGUGUAGGAUAGGUGGGAGGCUUUGAAGCGUGGACGCCAGUCUGCGUGGAGCCAACCUUGAAAUACCACCCUUUAAUGGCUGGUGUUCUAACGUAGACCCGUGAUCCGGGUUGCGGACAGUGUCUGGUGGGUAGUUUGACUGGGGCGGUCUCCUCCCAAAGAGUAACGGAGGAGCACGAAGGUUGGCUAAUCCUGGUCGGACAUCAGGAGGUUAGUGCAAUGGCAUAAGCCAGCUUGACUGCGAGCGUGACGGCGCGAGCAGGUGCGAAAGCAGGUCAUAGUGAUCCGGUGGUUCUGAAUGGAAGGGCCAUCGCUCAACGGAUAAAAGGUACUCCGGGGAUAACAGGCUGAUACCGCCCAAGAGUUCAUAUCGACGGCGGUGUUUGGCACCUCGAUGUCGGCUCAUCACAUCCUGGGGCUGAAGUAGGUCCCAAGGGUAUGGCUGUUCGCCAUUUAAAGUGGUACGCGAGCUGGGUUUAGAACGUCGUGAGACAGUUCGGUCCCUAUCUGCCGUGGGCGCUGGAGAAUUGAGGGGGGCUGCUCCUAGUACGAGAGGACCGGAGUGGACGCAUCACUGGUGUUCGGGUUGUCAUGCCAAUGGCACUGCCCGGUAGCUAAAUGCGGAAGAGAUAAGUGCUGAAAGCAUCUAAGCACGAAACUUGCCCCGAGAUGAGUUCUCCCUGAGACUUUAAGUCUCCUGAAGGAACGUUGAAGACGACGACGUUGAUAGGUCGGGUGUGUAAGCGCAGCGAUGCGUUGAGCUAACCGAUACUAAUGAACCGUGAGGCUUAACCUU
rnacentral:rRNA from 1 species